CUCAGAUAUUUGAACACCUGAUCAAAAUUUAUUCUGGCUGAGUGUGGUGAUGCAUGCCUAUAAUCUCGGCACUCUGGGAGACUGAGGCAGGAGGAUCACAAGUUCGAGCCCAACUUGGCCAACUUAGUGACUUAGUAAGACACUUCACAGAAAGAAAAAAAAAUAGGAUUUGGGAUGUAGUUCUGUGUGAAGGUCCUGGGUUUAAUUCUCAGUGUGAAAAAACAAUAACAAGUUGUGCGAAACGUGCCAAAUCAGCCUGGGCCCGGCAGCAAUCCACUGGACACCCCCCUCCCCCUGUACAGCCACCUGGUUCCACACUACAAAGACGCAGAGGACACCAGACCACCAGACCACUGUACUGGAAACACAAAACCAAGAGAAUGGUAACCUUGUGGAGAAAGUUUCUUCUCACAUAAAAUGAGGUGACAAAGAGGACAAACAUCAGACUUCUUGUUUGAUGGAAGGACAAGAGGAAUGUGAACAUUGUUCCUAUGACAAAAGAUGGGCAAGCCGGGGAACCAGGAUGAAAUGCAACAAACAAACAAAUAAGAAAGACCGAGUUUUCCUGAUUCAAUCGGCCUAUUUCUUUUACUCAAGAGUCUGUGUGGAAGUGAUAGAUAAUUAUUCUUCCAAACAGUUGCUUUUCACUUCCAUGAUGCAGUGCAGCUGGGACUAGACCGCCCCGUCAAAAAUUCCAUUUUUCAGCAGAACCACAUCCUCAUAAAUGAUGUGAUGGCACUUGUUUUCUACAAUGGCUUAUAAGCAGAACGAGUCACUUCUCACCUCUAGGAAUUAAUCCAGUUCCUCCUGGGUUUAAAGAAUGAAGACAAAGACCACAGCAUCCAAGAAAUGAAACAUUUAUUAAGACUGGGAAAGCUGUUUUUAAGUGUCAUGGUUCAAACUCAGCUUGCUCUUUCUCUGAAAUAUGAACACUUCACUGAUGAAACUUGCUACUACCCUUACCUUCAGUGGAGUAGACCAAGGAGCAGUAGUUUUCUAGCAAUUGUGAUACAUAAUGACAGCUACGAUUUGAUGAUCUGGAGCCAUGAAUAUUAAGAAAUAACCAGGUGAUAUAAUGACAGAUCCAACAGAUACAGUAGAUUCCAUGCUCUUGUGCGUGAUGAGCAAAGAAUUGGACACAUUCAUCCAGAAGCAGAAGAAAAACAACUACAUCUUUUGAAGAUGACGGGGAGAAGUGAGCAGUGUGGUCUGCAUGAACAGAAAAAUGGGGCCAGGACAACGGGGAAGUCAAAAGCACUACAGGUGCUGUGCUAAAUGCUUUGCACAUAGUGUCUCACUGUAUCUUAAUUCUCAGAACAGUUCAGUACUUGUGCCCAGGGUUACAAGCAGUAAAAAAAAAAAAAAAAAAAAAAAAAAUAGAAGGGGAAGGCUGCUGGGAUAAUAACCAGUUCAGUCUGAUUCAAAGCCUAUGUUCUUAACUACUGUGACUUUAACCACUACCACAUAUCACUGGUACUAAUAAAC
rnacentral:lncRNA from 1 species